rnacentral:lncRNA from 1 species
GAUCUGUCUCCUUAUGGAAGUACUUGGUACUUGUUCUGUGGUGCUGAGACGUGAACAAGGUUGGCACUUGAGCAAGGCAGGCAAACACUCUACCAUGAACUAUUCCUCCAGUCCUGGUACUGAACUGAACCAGUGUCUGGGUGUGGAGGAUCCACCUGAGGAUUGUUGCCAACAGCCAUAAAAAGAGAACUGGAGGGGAAGAUCGAAGGCUGUUGAUUUUCUAGGAGCAGCUUGUGUGGAUGGUCUUCCUGAUAGGAACUCGGCUGUUUUCAUCAGAGGGGGAGCUCAGGCCUCACUGUGGCUGGGAAUGGCUGCUGUUCUGUCAGGGGAGCUCUGAUCUUCACCGUGAGCAUCACUUCCUGGCUCCAGUAUGGAUCCCUCAGCCUGUGGCACAAAUCCUUCACCCCACCGGCAUAGGCUUUCUGGCUCCCACCACUGGCCUUUGGGCCUUCAGGUGCAGAUCCUCAAUACUGACAAGCGUGAGACGUUGCCAUGGGCUCUGGGCCUCUGGCUGGACUCAUGGAGGACACUGCCUUGGGCUCUAAGCCUUUAGCUGGACUUGUGUGGGAAAUUGCUGAUCCAGGCUCUCGGCUAGAUUCUUUGGGCCCCUAAUGUGUGGCUAAUCUCUUGCACUCCUUUGCAUUUGACUUUUGGGGUAAUUAUCAUAAAGUAAUCCUAUAAACUAUGUGUCCUGCAGUAAAUUUAUUCUCUUGCCAAACCCUGACUAUAGCAAUCUCCAAACUGAGUCUUAUCUAAAAGUCCUUCUAAAAUGUCUUUGGAAUUUAUUAAAAUGUUUCUACAUGC